rnacentral:rRNA from 1 species
CCUACGGGAGGCAGCAGUGAGGAAUAUUGGUCAAUGGGCGGGAGCCUGAACCAGCCAAGCCGCGUGAGGGAAGAAGGUACAGCGUAUCGUAAACCUCUUUUGUCAGGGAACAAAGGCGGGGACUAGUCCCCGGAUGAGGGUACCUGAAGAAAAAGCAUCGGCUAACUCCGUGCCAGCAGCCGCGGUAAUACGGAGGAUGCGAGCGUUAUCCGGAUUUAUUGGGUUUAAAGGGUGCGUAGGUGGGCUGUUAAGUCAGCGGGAAAAGGUCGGGGCUCAACCCCGGCACUGCCUUUGAGACUGGCGGGCUGGAGUUGGAGAGAGGUACGCGGAAUGCGGGGUGUAGCGGUGAAAUGCUUAGAUAUCGCGCAGAACCCCGAUUGCGAAGGCAGCGUAC